GCAUUGGUGGCUCCCCAUUGGUAGAGUUCUCACCUCCCAUGUGAGAGACCCAGGUUCGAUUCCUAGCUGAAGCA
rnacentral:tRNA from 1 species